CAGUCGCCGCGGGAAUACGAAGGGGGCUAGCGUUGCUCGGAAUCACUGGGCGUAAAGGGUGCGUAGGCGGGUCUUUAAGUCAGGGGUGAAAUCCUGGAGCUCAACUCCAGAACUGCCUUUGAUACUGAAGAUCUUGAGUUCGGGAGAGGUGAGUGGAACUGCGAGUGUAGAGGUGAAAUUCGUAGAUAUUCGCAAGAACACCAGUGGCGAAGGCGGCUCACUGGCCCGAUACUGACGCUGAGGCACGAAAGCGUGGGGAGCAAACAGGAUUAGAUACCCGUGUAGUCCCUGUCUCUUAUAC
rnacentral:rRNA from 1 species